rnacentral:rRNA from 1 species
AAGUUAGCUGUUAAAGACCUAUGCUCAACGUAGGGGGAGCAGCUAAUACUGUAUAGCUAGAGUACAGCAAGGGAUGGUGGAAUUCCCGGUGUAGGGGUGAAAUCUGUAGAGAUCGGGAGGAAUACCGAUGGCGAAGGCGACCAUCUAGGCUGAUACUGACGCUGAGGGGCGAAAGCCAGGGGAGCAAACGGGAUUAGAUACCCCGGUAGUCCUGGCUGUAAACGAUGUAUACUGGGUAUAGGCGACUAGACUUGUCUGUACCGAAGCAAACGCGUUAAGUAUACCGCCUGGGGAGUAUGCUCGCAAGAGUGAAACUCAAAGGAAUUGACGGGUACCGGCACAAGCGGUGGAGCAUGUUGUUUAAUUCGACGGUACGCGAAGAACCUUACCAGGGCUUGACAUGUACCUUACAGUGGAGGAAACUCUGAGGCCGAUAAGGCGUGGUACACAGAUGCUGCAUGGCUGUCGUCAGCUAGUGUCGUGAGAUGUUGGGUUAAGUCCCGCAACUAGCGCAACCCCUAUCCAUAGUUGCCAUCAUUAAGUUGGGCACUCUAUGGAGACUGCCGGUGAUAAAUCGGAGGAAGGUGGGGAUGACGUCAAGUCAUCAUGGCUCUUACGUCCUGGGCUACAAACGUGCUACAAUGGUAGCUACAAAGGGUAGCGAAGCAGUGAUGCGGAGCCAAUCCCAAAAAAGCUACCUCAGUGCGGAUUGCAGUCUGCAACUCGACUGCAUGAAGUCGGAAUCGCUAGUAAUCGUGGAUCAG